rnacentral:rRNA from 1 species
CCUACGUGAGGCAGCAGUGGGGAAUAUUGCACAAUGGGGGAAACCCUGAUGCAGCGACGCCGCGUGAGUGAAGAAGUAUUUCGGUAUGUAAAGCUCUAUCAGCAGGGAAGAAAAUGACGGUACCUGAUUAAGAAGCCCCGGCUAACUACGGGCCAGCAGCCGCGGUAAUACGUAGGGGGCAAGCGUGAUCCGGAUUGACGGGGGGUAAAGGGAGCGUAGACGGCAGCACAAGUCUGGAGUGAAAUGCCGGGGCUGAACCCCGGGACUGCUUUUGAAACUGUGCAGCUAGAGUGCAGGAGAGGUCAGUUGAUUUCCUAGUGUAGCUGUGCAAUGCGUAGAUAUUAGGCGGAACACCAGUGGCGCAGGCGUCUUACUGGACUGUACCUGCCGUUGCGGCUCGAAAGCGUGGGGAGCAACCAGGAUUAGAUACCCCAGUAGUC